GCGUGAGUGAUGAAGGCCUUAGGGUUGUAAAGCUCUUUCGCCAGGGACGAUAAUGACGGUACCUGGAUAAGAAGCCCCGGCAAACUUCGUGCCAGCAGCCGCGGUAAUACGAAGGGGGCUAGCGUUGUUCGGAAUCACUGGGCGUAAAGCGCAUGCAGGCGGAUCGUUAAGUCGGGGGUGAAAUCCCGAGGCUCAACCUCGGAACUGCCUUCGAUACUGGCGAUCUCGAGUCCGGAAGAGGUGAGUGGAAUUGCGAGUGUAGAGGUGAAAUUCGU
rnacentral:rRNA from 1 species